CUCUUCCCCACCAGGGUCCUCAGCCACACACCCCGAGCCCUGCCUGCGGGCCCAGCCCCCCCAUUUCCGGAGCCUGCGCCCCGGACCCAGCGGGGGCUGAUCCCUGGGAAAGGCCUGGCUUCCUCUUCCUUCCUGUCCCUGCCCCACCUCCGCCGGGCUCCACAGCCGCCGGGAGCCCAGGGCCGAGACGGGAGGAGGGCACCCACCUGGUCGGUGUCACAUGCUGCUUCGGCCCCAGCGUCCCCUCCAGGUCCCGGCGCCGGCCGCAGUCCCCAGAGCCGUCCCCAGCGCAGGCCCGGCCGCCCCACCCGCGGCCCGCCCCUGGCCGCCCGACGGGAGGGAGGGAUCGGGUUCUCCUAGGAAGUUUCAGUAGUGAAAUGGUGAAAAAUCAGACAAUGGUCACAGAGUUCCUCCUACUGGGAUUUCUCCUGGGCCCAAGGAUUCAGAUGCUCCUCUUUGGGCUCUUCUCCCUGUUCUAUGUCUUCACCCUGCUGGGGAAUGGGACCAUCCUGGGGCUCAUCUCACUGGACUCCAGACUCCACACCCCCAUGUACUUCUUCCUCUCACACCUGG
rnacentral:lncRNA from 1 species